rnacentral:lncRNA from 1 species
CAUAGAAGAAGGGGCGGAAGAGAAAGCGGGCGACGAACGCCAAGCCGACCAAACCCCGUGUCAAGUGGACAUCCAAGGAAGACGAGUGCCUUGCCGAAGCGUGGAAGACUGUCAGCAUCAACCCGAUCACCGGCACAAAUCAGAACAACGGCACGUACUGGGGAGAAUCAAAACGACGUUCGACGAACGCAAGCUGGUUGACCCCGACUUUGCGAGCAUCCACAUGGAC